AAGUGUUUCUCUGUCAAGCCCUAAUGGGCGUGGCGUUGGCGACAGUGUAGCGGGUCUUUUGGUUGCCGCCAGCCCCGUGCAGAUUAUUGUUGGAAGUUUCUUGACAGGCGUCCAGUAGGAACAGAAACCCGCCAAGAAACAGAAGCCUGAUAACAUAACAAUCACACUCCCAACUACAGCUGUGGUUCCAGUUCAGGUUCUGUUUUCAGUUCAGACAUCAGGACCGGUUCUCGUGCCAGCGCCGACGCCCGCAGGUAUGUGAGCUACCUAUAGUUGAUUAUGCUCAUGAUGGUUUCCUUAUAAAUGAUUUAGAAUUAUUUAUAUAUGGAGGUUGGUUGGUUCGAUAAGCCGGAAAACUCUAGCGGUGCAAUCGGUGCACGGUUGUCUCCCAAUGCUGCCAGUGUUCGUGGGUUAGUUGGUGAUGCGCUUGCUCAGAUCGUUCAAGACUUAUCAUCGGCUAUCAGUGGUUUAUUCAUCGCUUUUACAGCUUGCUGGCAGUUGGCUCUCAUAAUUCUUGCUAUGAUUCCGUUAGCGUCUAUUAAUGGAUAUGUUAAACUGAUGUACGAGGAAGCGAGUCAGGUGGCGAAUGAUGCAGUCGAAGUAUACGUACAGUAUUGUCUUUUUGUGCAGAAGAGAAAGUUAUGCAACUGUAUAGAAGUAAAUGCAACUGUAUAAUUAGCGGGACCGGGUUUGGGAUUUUGAUUUUUAUUUUACUUUUUUGUAUGUAUGAUGCCAGUU